ACUGAAGUAGCUCAGUUAGCUGAGUGUUAGAUUGAGGUUCUAAAUAUCCCUGGUUCAAGCCCAGGUUUUGGCA
rnacentral:tRNA from 1 species